rnacentral:tRNA from 1 species
GCCCAAGUAGCUCAGUUGGGAGAGCGCUACCCUGAAGAGGUAGCUGUCGCUGGUUCAAGUCCGGCCUUGGGCA